AGAGUUUGAUCCUGGCUCAGAUUGAACGCUGGCGGCAUGCUUUACACAUGCAAGUCGAACGGCAGCACGGGGGCAACCCUGGUGGCGAGUGGCGAACGGGUGAGUAAUAUAUCGGAACGUACCCGGAAAUGGGGGAUAACGUAGCGAAAGUUACGCUAAUACCGCAUAUGCCCUAAGGGGGAAAGCGGGGGAUUCGCAAGAACCUCGCGUUUUCGGAGCGGCCGAUAUCGGAUUAGCUAGUAGGUGAGGUAAAGGCUCACCUAGGCGACGAUCCGUAGCUGGUCUGAGAGGACGACCAGCCACACUGGAACUGAGACACGGUCCAGACUCCUACGGGAGGCAGCAGUGGGGAAUUUUGGACAAUGGGCGCAAGCCUGAUCCAGCCAUGCCGCGUGAGUGAAGAAGGCCUUCGGGUUGUAAAGCUCUUUCAGCCGGAAAGAAAACGCACGGGUUAAUAACCUGUGUGGAUGACGGUACCGGAAGAAGAAGCACCGGCUAACUACGUG
rnacentral:rRNA from 1 species